UACGUAGGCAGCGAGCGUUGUUCGGAGUUACUGGGCGUAAAGGGUGCGCAGGCGGUGGAGCAAGUCUGAUGUGAAAUCUCCCGGCUUAACCGGGAGGGUGCGUUAGAAACUGUUCUGCUGGAGUGAGGGAGAGGCAAGCGGAAUUCCUGGUGUAGCGGUGGAAUGCGCAGAUAUCAGGAGGAACACCGGUGGCGAAGGCGGGACUCUGGGCCAGUACUGACGCUGAUGCGCGAAAGCGUGGGGAGCAAACAGG
rnacentral:rRNA from 1 species